UACGUAGGGCGCAAGCGUUAUCCGGAAUUAUUGGGCGUAAAGAGCUCGUAGGCGGUUUGUCGCGUCUGCCGUGAAAGUCCGGGGCUCAACUCCGGAUCUGCGGUGGGUACGGGCAGACUAGAGUGAUGUAGGGGAGACUGGAAUUCCUGGUGUAGCGGUGAAAUGCGUAGAUAUCUGGAGGAACACCGGUGGCGAAGGCGGCAUCCUGGACCGAGAUUGACGCUGAGGCGCGAAAGCCAGGGGAGCAAACGGG
rnacentral:rRNA from 1 species